GACGAACGCUGGCGGCGUGCUUAACACAUGCAAGUCGAGCGGUAAGGCCUUUCGGGUUAUACGAUCGGCUAACGGGCGAGUAACACGUUGGUGAUCUGCCCUGCACUUCGUGAUAAUCCUGUGAAACUGGGUCUAAUACCGGAUAUGACCUCCUAUCGCAUGGUGGGUGGUGGAAAGAUUUAUCGGUGCAGGAUGGGUCCGUUGCCUAUCAGCUUGUUGUUGAUGUAAUGGCAUACCAAGGCGACGACGGGUAGCCGACCUGAGAGGGUGACCGGCCACACUGGGACUGAGGCACGGCCCAGACUGGUAUGUGAGGCAGCAGUGGGGAAUAUUGCACAAUGGGCGAAAGCCUGAUGAAGAGACGCCGCGUGAGGGAAAACGGCCUUCGGGUUGUAAACCUCUUUCAGCAGGGACGAAGCGCAAGUGACGGUACCUUAAGAAGAAGCACCGGCUAACUACGUG
rnacentral:rRNA from 1 species